rnacentral:rRNA from 1 species
AUACGGAGGAUCCGAGCGUUAUCCGGAUUUAUUGGGUUUAAAGGGUGCGCAGGCGGGAGAUUAAGUCGGCGGUGAAAUUUUGCAGCUCAACUGUAAAAGUGCCUUCGAAACUGGUUUCCUUGAGUGUAGAUGAAGUAGGCGGAAUUUGUGGUGUAGCGGUGAAAUGCAUAGAUAUCACGAGGAACUCCGAUUGCGCAGGCAGCUUACUAAACUACUACUGACGCUCAGGCACGAAGGCGUGGGGAUCAAACAGGAUUAGAUACCCUGGUAGUCCACGCAGUAAACGAUGAUUACUAGCUGUUUGCGAUACAAUGUAAGCGGCUGAGCGAAAGCGUUAAGUAAUCCACCUGGG